rnacentral:rRNA from 1 species
GCAUGUAACUACGAGUAACCGGGGUGCCGAAGUGAAAACGUGAAACGUGCCGCCUGUGAAGUACGGUCGCAAGGCUGAAACUUAAAGGAAUUGGCGGGGGAGCACCACAACGGGUGGAGCUGCGGUUUAAUUGGACUCAACGCCGGGCAGCUCACCGGAUAGGACAGCGGAAUGAUAGCCGGGCUGAAGACCUUGCUUGACCAGCUGAGAGGAGGUGCAUGGCCGUCGUCAGUUCGUACUGUGAAGCAUCCUGUUUAGUCAGGCAACGAGCGAGACCCACGCCAACAGUUGCUAGCAUGUUCUCCGGAAUGAAGAAAAAAAAAGUAAAGACCGCCUCUGCUAAAGAGGAGGAAGGAAUGGGCAACGGUAGGUCAGCAUGCCCCGAAUUAUCCGGGCUACACGCGGGCUACAAUGGUCAGGACAAUGGGAAACGGCACUGAAAAGUGUAGUCAAUCUCCUAAACCUGUCCCAAGUUCGGAUUGUGGGCUGCAACUCGCCCACAUGAAGCUGGAAUCCGUAGUAAUCGCGUUUCAAAAUAGCGCGGUGAAUAAG